rnacentral:lncRNA from 1 species
ACCGACUCCACAUAGCACAUAGCAAAUAUUAUCCUAAUCCUAUUCUCUCAAGCCAAAGUUAGAUCAAACACUUACCUCGAAUCCGAAAAUAGCCACUCAAAGCUCAACAAUCGGCUUUCCUCUAGAAUCAACCUGGAGCCAACGAUAUCUAAUAUAAAUCGAUUCAAUAUUAUCAAUAAUAGCACAAGGAUACAAUUUCCUAGCUUA